CGAGGUAAUAACUGCGCGGUUCUUGAGGUAAAUAAAUUUAGUUUCGCUAUUAGUAGAGACACUGCUGAGACUCACAGACUCAGGUAAGCUAAUUCACAAAUAUAUUGACUUAUUGGGUGUGUCUCAAUCAGCUCCCGAGCUCGUGAAUCAGUAACGUUAUAUCGUGUAUUCGGGCUCGAAUUCGGGCACUGGUAAGGACAGUAAAGGGCGCUGGGGUUCACUACACAUUGGGACAUUUAUGACAACGUCCUUAUUGUACUAUGAACAGCAGCAGAGCUAAUCAUGGCCGCGGGAAGUGGGGGUGCUGCAGCACCCCCUAGUGACGAGAGGGAGAUUUAAAAAAAAAAAAAUGUAGGCCUAUUAAAAUAUUUUGCACAAUUUAUAAAUUCCUUAUGAAUAUUUUAGAAAAUGAUUUUGACACACGUAGGCUAUUACGUAUAUUUUGGAUUUUAAUUUCAUAUUUUGAGGCCUAAUCAACACAGGUUCGGAAGUUACGUUGUCAACGUCACGCAGGCAGGUUUGGUCGCCGAGUAAAGAGGUUUCCCGCUCGUUCCAUGCAGAAUAUAUACAUCUUUGGCAGCAGCUGACUAGUAAAUUUACAUAGUUUAAUGACAGAAACGAGGAGAAAAUAUGUCACAGAAACGGAUUUUGGAUUUUUUUGGAAAACCACCAGCGAAGAAAUCUAAUACCGCAACCAUGACAACGGAGUCUGUCCGCCUGCCUCGGCCUGCAGUUGAACCGGCAGGCCCAGCCCCAGCACCCGCAACCCAACCUAGCGUGAUUGGAUUAGACGAGCCCUUCCAGCCAACAUCCAGUUUCAAAUUUCCCGCAUGGCGUUGUGACCCUGGCUGGCUGUGCACUGAAGUGUAUAUGACAAUAAAGUAGUAAAUCUCAAUGUAUUUAUUUUUAAAAUGUAUUUUAAAUAGG